rnacentral:rRNA from 1 species
GACGAACGCUGGCGGCGUGCUUAACACAUGCAAUUCGAACGGAAAGGCUCUGCUUUUGUGGGGUGAUCGAGUGGCUAACGGGUAAGUAACACGUGAGUAACCUGCCCUUGACUUUGGGAUAACUUCAGGAAACUGGGGCUAAUACCGGAUAGGAGCUCCUGCUGCAUGGUGGGGGUUGGAAAGUUUCGGCGGUUGGGGAUGGACUCGCGGCGUAUCAGCUUGUUGGUGGGGUAGUGGCUUACCAAGGCUUUGACGGGUAGCCGGCCUGAGAGGGUGACCGGGCAGAUUGGGACUGAGAUACGGCCCAGACUCCUAGGGGAGGCAGCAGUGGGGAAGAUUGCACAAUGGGCGGAAGCCUGAUGCAGCAACGCCGCGUGCGGGAUGACGGCCUUCGGGUUGUAAACCGCUUUCGCCUGUGACGAAGCGUGAGUGACGGUAAUGGGUAAAGAAGCACCGGCUAACUACGUG